AGGAAGGAAAAGGAAGUGCGCACGCGUGAGUCGGGUGGUGCUCGCCUGCCGGCAACCCAUCAUCUACUACUAAAGGGCUGGGAGCGGGCAGGCGAGCUGGGUGGAGGCAGCAGGCAGCAUGCGGGCCUCCGGAUCGAAGUUGACCCCAACCUCUCGGGGUUUUCCCUUCCCGUGAGCCCCCGGAGGCUAGCGCGGUGAUUCUUUGGCGAAAACAUUUCGGAAUUCCGUGGUCUGUGCCAGGCCUAUGCUCUAUUUUGUCCUCAACCCAGUAGCAAAAUAGUUAUGUAAACAGAUUUCGACACAGUGCGAUGGCUGCAACAAAAAGAAGCAUUAUGAGGUUAGAUGUGAAAAGGUAGCAUUAACGACGGCGGAGGUUGCAGUUUCCUGUCUGCGGUAGGCACUGGUGAAGUGGAAGUUUGCGAAACUAAGUGGCUUGUGCUCCGGUGCAUUUCUGGUAGAGAGAAGGCUUAUGGUCCUCACCUGGCUGAGUGCAAUCGAACAGAUGUUUUCUUUCAUUGUGGCUCACAGAAACUGCUAAGACUAUGAUGGUGUAAUGGUAAUUAAGAGACCUGCACUCUACUCCCAGCUGUGACCUUUAUCUGCAUAAUGAAGAAUUAAUUUGGAAGCUGCAGUUUCCUUCUCAUUUUAAAGCUGGAUGCCUUUAGGCCCAGGUUCUGUAUUCCUUUUUAUAACAGUAUUUUGUAGACUACAUUGCUGUACAAGGAAGUUUUGUAUAUAUGUACAACCAUGGUCAUCCAAGAAUGCCAGCACACUGCAGUGCUGUUUGAGUUUGCUCUUGGUUCCCAGCUCUGUCUUCACCUUGUCUCUGUAUUGGUUUGACCUCAUCUACAACCCACUCUGAUCUUACAGCAUGUCCUAAGGUCAGAAUCAAAAAGAAUGAGAAAACACUGACUACUUACAAAAGAAAAAGGAAGAAUGCUCAAAAUUCCAUUGUUUCUGAUGGCUGAUAAAAUGUCAUCAAAGAAAAGUACUUCCAUAAAAGUUUUAUUUAUCCCCACAACAACCCUGUGAGGUAGGGUGAUCAGGGCAUUUGAAGAUGAGAAAACUAAAUCUACAUUACUUGUUCACGGCUAUACUGCAUAGUAAAUAAGUAGAAAUUAAAUUGAGAUUUUUAAAUGUCCACGACUUCAUAUUGAUUCAUGUGGAAAUAAGUAGAGAGAAUAUUAACUCCUCUCUACCUUAAUACCAAAAGGACACUACCUUGAAAAAUCCCAUUUCAAAAGAUGAAAGUAGCAUUUCAUUGCUCAUUUCUACAAAGAUUUAUAAAAUAAAAAAAUAGUGAAAUAUUUUAGUUAAUAUAUAUAAUGGUCUCAUUCAGGGACAUGUCCUUCAGCUAUGUAAAUGAUCAGCUAUUCAGAGUUCUAUAAACACAAAUUCUUUAAAAAGUAUGAAUGACAAAAAUGAUAAUGAGCAGUAGCCUCAAUCUUCAUUAUUCCUCCUCAUAUCUUGAAUAAGUUCUGUGAAAUAUGGUCCCAGCUUUAAAAAAAAAAAAAAAGAAAGAAAGAAA